UACAGAGGUCUCAAGCGUUGUUCGGAUUCAUUGGGCGUAAAGGGUGUGUAGGUGGCGCCGUAAGUCGGGUGUGAAAUUUCGGAGCUUAACUCCGAAACUGCAUUCGAUACUGCGGUGCUUGAGGACUGGAGAGGAGACUGGAAUUCAUGGUGUAGCAGUGAAAUGCGUAGAGAUCAUGAGGAAGACCAGUGGCGAAGGCGGGUCUCUGGGCCAUAACUGACGCUGAGAAGCGAAAGCAUGGGGAGCGAACAGG
rnacentral:rRNA from 1 species